rnacentral:rRNA from 1 species
UACGAAGGGGGCUAGCGUUGUUCGGAUUUACUGGGCGUAAAGCGCACGUAGGCGGAUCGAUCAGUCAGGGGUGAAAUCCCAGAGCUCAACUCUGGAACUGCCUUUGAUACUGUCGAUCUGGAGUAUGGAAGAGGUGAGUGGAAUUCCGAGUGUAGAGGUGAAAUUCGUAGAUAUUCGGAGGAACACCAGUGGCGAAGGCGGCUCACUGGUCCAUUACUGACGCUGAGGUGCGAAGGCGUGGGGAGCGAACAGG